rnacentral:rRNA from 1 species
GCGGAACUAACAGAUUUACUUCGGUAAUGACGUUAGGAAAGCGAGCGGCGGAUGGGUGAGUAACACGUGGGGAACCUGCCCCAUAGUCUGGGAUACCACUUGGAAACAGGUGCUAAUACCGGAUAAGAAAGCAGAUCGCAUGAUCAGCUUUUAAAAGGCGGCGUAAGCUGUCGCUAUGGGAUGGCCCCGCGGUGCAUUAGCUAGUUGGUAAGGUAAAGGCUUACCAAGGCGAUGAUGCAUAGCCGAGUUGAGAGACUGAUCGGCCACAUUGGGACUGAGACACGGCCCAAACUCCUACGGGAGGCAGCAGUAGGGAAUCUUCCACAAUGGACGCAAGUCUGAUGGAGCAACGCCGCGUGAGUGAAGAAGGUUUUCGGAUCGUAAAGCUCUGUUGUUGGUGAAGAAGGAUAGAGGUAGUAACUGGCCUUUAUUUGACGGUAAUCAACCAGAAAGUCACGGCUAACUACGUGCCAGCAGCCGCGGUAAUACGUAGGUGGCAAGCGUUGUCCGGAUUUAUUGGGCGUAAAGCGAGCGCAGGCGGAAGAAUAAGUCUGAUGUGAAAGCCCUCGGCUUAACCGAGGAACUGCAUCGGAAACUGUUUUUCUUGAGUGCAGAAGAGGAGAGUGGAACUCCAUGUGUAGCGGUGGAAUGCGUAGAUAUAUGGAAGAACACCAGUGGC